AGAGCUCACGAGAUCUGGAUGUAUUGUACGAGGCUAGUUGUGAACGGAAAGCGACUUUGUAAUUUUAAGUACAGCAUCUUUCAAAAUACAAUUGACACACUUGCGCUACAAUCAAAUACAUACUUCCAUAAUUGAUGUGUGCACGACCGCUUGCAUUCGUUUAUUUAGCACAUAUUGAACCGCCUGCAAGCACAUUUGCACGCGCUUAUUUGACGCGUAUAAAGUUAAUUUAGCGCCUGCACCUGCUUACUUUACACGCGUAGCAUUAACAAGAUUGCGUUUUGACCACGUGCUGUAAGACCCAAUCGGCGUUCCAUAAUAUUGAAGCAUGUCGAGGUAUCGUCCAGGCACAACGGACGACUGACUGAACGACACAUUUGGAGGUGGCAGUUGAGUUGCCUGCUAAUCAACAUUAGCUAUAUUGAGAGCUGUCAAGCAAGCUAGUUACUUGUCUGUCACAUUGGACACAAGGGACUGUGGACGAGUGGUUCUACCGCCAGCUACAUCCUAUUAUUUUGCACUCAGUUACCAUGUGGCCCUGCAUAACAAUAUUUAGGCCGCUUCUAUUGAAAUUAAGAAGCGGGUUCUUCCUCCUGCUGUGCACUUGAGAGUCACUAAGAAUAUACCGCAAAUUGUGGCUUUCAUCGAGGGCAUCAUCAGAAAUGAACACGCCUAUGUCACAAAACAAGGGACGUGUAUUUCGAUAUCAGGUCCAUCGGGGACCAUUACGGCAAGCUUAUGGGGGCUGGUGAUGCAGCUGGUGAGCCUG